UAUUUCUUCAGCUCGUUCUUGGAGAAUCUGGCAGCAUAGCGCUUUGCAGUGAUGAGUUGUCUAAUAUCUGUUUGGAAAUCUCGAUCAUUGACCUGAAAACAAAGUUACAUCUAUUGCAGUUGUGUUUUAAUUUCCCCUGAAGUUUUCGGGAUGAGAACCGGAUUUCUCAGCUAAAGUUGCAAAGUUAAAAAGAAGACAAGGAAGACUUACAAAGGCAACAGGUAAUCACCGAGCACAAAAACAUCAGGAUAUCGAGAUGAGGGCGAAAUCUUCAAGGAAGCCCAAAGAAAAAGCUGUGGAUCAAGUCGUUGUGGCCAUACUUAGUUGAAUUGUGAGCUCCCUAAAGAUAUACACAGGAUCAUCAGAAUCUCUUUACUUUGACAUUGAUAAGCUUUACUAGACUUAGAUCAUACAAAACUUUGA